AAACAAGGUCAAAUGACCUUGGAGAAAAAAUUUCAUAAUUUUUGGAAACAUAAAAGUAUUUUUAAACAAUUAAAAAUAUACAUAAAAACAAUUAAAUUAUGAAAAAUAUUAAUAUUGAUCCAAAAAAUAAUUUUAAUUCAGAAAGUGAAAGAGAAAAAUAUUUGAGAAUUCUUGGUGAAAGUCCCAUAUUUUUUGGAUCAAUAUUAAAAUUAAUAUGAAUUAAUGAAAAU
rnacentral:lncRNA from 1 species